AGAGACGUAAGGAAUUUAGUCGACGGCAGCGACGAUGUUGGUUGGUGUCUCUCUGGCCGCAAAAAAAUUUUAUUGGUGACAUGUCAAUUUCUACAUGUGGGAAGAUACAAUCAAUAAUUACGGAUCAGAUGGAAGAUCUUCCUCAAUGAAAAAUUCUCCAGGAAUUCUUAAUACAGAUCCAUAAAGCAUUUCCGCUGGGGAUACAUUUAAAUCCUCUUUAAAGCAAGUGUCCAAGUCCAAGUAAAACAGUUGGAUGCCAUUGGAAGCUGGAUAAUAUGCUGAGGUUCUGAUUUGUUCGCUACCUAUUAGGUUGGUGAGAGUUUUGAAUAAUGCAGCUUCAAACUGAGGAUCUUGAUCAGUUGAAAUCGUUUGAGGAGCACCAUACCUCGCAACCCAGUGCGUAUAAAAGACUGUGGUAACAGUCUCUGCUAAAAUUUUAGUUAAAGGCCCCAGAUAGCCAAAGCUUCCUUGGCAUAAGAAAGGAAAUGGUAUAUAAAAAGCAGCGAUCAGUCAAAAAGUAGACGCGAGCAACAUGACUCCGUAGUGGAGGAGAUAUGCACUUUUAAUUUUUUAUAUUAAUUUCUAAGUUUUAAUUUUUUUAUCAAUUUUUUAUUUUGUUUUCUGUGUUUUGUAUUUUUGGAUAUAUUUUUUCUUUUCAUAUUGGAA